GUUUCUGGUUGUGUGUAAGGGAUGCAUUGUGUGAAUCUGUGUUUGUAUGCAUAAGGGAUGCAAAGUGUGUGUCUGUAUGUGUGUGCAUUGGGUGUAAGAGAUGCAUUGUGUUUCUGUGUGUAUGUAAGAAAAGAAGUGUGUGUGUUUGCAUGUGUGUGUACGGGUUUGCAUUGUCUGUUUCUGUGUAUGUGUGCAGAGGAUGCAUUGUCUUUGUGUGUAAGGGUUGCAUUGUGUGUGUGUGUGUGUAAUGGAUGCAUUGUGUGUUUCUCUGUGUGUAAGGGAAGCAUGUUGUGUUUUUGUGUAUGUAUAGGGAUGCAUUGUGUGUGUGUGCGCGCGUAGUGUGAAA